rnacentral:rRNA from 1 species
AGGACGAACGCUGGCGGCGUGCUUAACACAUGCAAGUCGAGCGAGGCCCGUCCUUCGGGCGGUGCCCUAGCAGCGAACGGGUGAGUAACACGUGGGCAACCUGCCCCUAGCACUGGGAUAACUCCGGGAAACCGGGCUAAUACCGGAUAUGACCUUUGAGGGCAUCCUCGAAGGUGUAAAGGAUUCUGGCUAGGGAUGGGCCCGCGGCCUAUCAGCUUGUUGGUGGGUAACGGCCUACCAAGGCGACGACGGGUA